UUUUUAUUUUUUUUUACUCAAACCAUAAAUAAGCUUAGAUAUCUCAGCCAAUCACUGGCUUCCCAUAGCUUGUGCAUGCUUCUUAUAGGGACAUUCGCAACGAAAACACACCUGUACAAGUGAAUGAAGGCCUUUAGAUGUUCUAUACCUGCUGCUUUCUUGCACGCAUAUUCAUUUAUUUUAUCGUGAGCUUUAAUACGCAUCACAUUUGUUCAGGUGCCGGGCAUGUGCCUUUAAUAACACUCACACAAAUGUAAACAAAUUGCAAGAUGAUGAGCAAAUCUUAUUGAUUUUCUCGGUGAAAAAAUGUAGCUUCAAGAAACUGAAAUAGGACUUCCAAGGUAUUUACAAACGUGAGUUAGUGAAUUUCAAAUUCAAGGCUAGAGUAUCUGAACUGAAAACUUGGCUGAAUUGGGUAAUUUUUACAUUUCGGCUAUUUUAGACUUACGUUUGAAAUUCACUUUGAAUUCUCACUUGAGUGAAUAUCCCAGUUUAUCUCUCAUCCAAUGUCUUUUGAGGUGUGUAUACGAUACGUUCCCCAUAAAGCUUUUGUCACAGGCCUCAAAUUGUUAUUUUCCGAUCUUACUCUGGGUAGGAGUGGGUGAACAGGCAUUAUCUGUAUUUGCUUUUGACCCUUGUGUGUAUCAGCUGGAAGAUUUUUUUUAAACCUCAGGGCAUGGUGGAAUGCUGUAUGUAUGUAUGUACUAAGAGAAAAAUGUGUAGCAGUCAGCCUGAGAGUGUUCAUACCUUUCUCAACCCAAACACUGCAUGCUAGCUGUUUUGCCAAUGAACUGUAUAAAUCCCCACUGAUUAAAGAGUUAGGUGUUCUGAAGGGGCAACUCUUCUUUGAGGAAACUUUUCUUUGUCUAUGUUAUUAAUGUUAUGGAACAUUAUCUUAGUAAAUAUCAGGAUGUUUCAUAUUUUCAUAGGAACAUUUUAUGUUCCCCCCCCACACUCCUCAAAUAUUAAAAUCCUGUGAGGAUACGUUACAUAAACAUAUUAUUUUUCUUUAAAAGGAUUUUCAUAUUCCAUGUUUACACUUUUACUCGCCUUUAAGUGGAAGUCCUAAAUAAUAUCUUGUGCAGCUGUAAUGUUUUUUUUCUUUUAAUUCAUUUAUUGAAUUCUGGAAAUCUUGACAACACACCCAGUAAUUCGGCUUUCCCAACUGCUCCGCUAAUGAGCACACAAUCUUGCUGUGAGCAGAUGGAUGUAGCCUAACUUGAAAACUGUUAGACUGACCUGAUAUGGUGAGUUAAUGUCGAAUUGGCAGAACAGAACCAAAACACAAAUGGUAUCCUAUAUUCGUUAAAUGUAUAGUCCCAAUAAUCCUAAAACAUCAAUGAUGUAGUGCUCAAUUUCUGUUGAACAAACCAAAUUACCAAUAAAUGUACAGAAAAUUUUUAUUUUACUUUAUGUACUUACCAGUAUAGUGCCAAAUGUGCCAAGCCACCUAUUUCAGUAGAACUGUACAUGUGGUGCUAUAAGGAUGGAAACAGUUGUGCAAUCCAUCCGGUUCAACUGACACAUUUACAGCCAUUCUUAAUUUAUCCACUGGACCUCUUGGAAUAGGCACACAGGCCUGCCAGUAUACCUUUUACAUCACACAAUUAAGGAUGUUUUUACCAGCAUAAUAUAUAGAUUAUACUACGUACCAAUGUAAAAAUUGACAAUCAUCCAUAUGUUUUGUGAAUAACAGGACCUUUAAGACUUCUACAUAUGCACUGAAUUGUGCAUAAAAGUCUUAGACUUAAAGGCGCAUAUGUAUUUGCCAAGUGACAUGCUAUAUACUUCAUUAAUUAGUGCCAAUUAAAUACCAUAGAACAACUCCCUGCCCUCCCAGCCAAAUGAAUCAUUAUUGCUAAUACAAUAUAACAAUGCUGUCUUCUCAGAGUCUGUAUCCCAUGCUAAUGUAUUUCAUUAUAUUUAAGAAAUAGAACUAUCUCAGAUGUCUGGGAUUAGCAUACACAAUGUUGUAUGUUAUCUUUAUUCUUGGAAGAAUGAUAAUUAUUCAGCUCAUAAUAAAAUAUUCCGUGUUUUAGUUACACUUAAUAUAAUAAUUUAUCAUUAAUAUGUUAUUUUAAAAUGCAUUUUCUUUGGGUUGAAAAGUGCUGAAUACUCUCACACACAAAAAAAGGGGCUCAACUUAAUUUAUUUUGCUAAAGUUUCACUUUAUUUUAGUGUAUUUGUAGUUCACUUUUGAACAAAGCCACAAUUCUGUGCACACUUUUCUUGUCUCUGAUCAGAUAUUACUGUGAUUGCACUCAAAAUGCUGCAUUAUUAUUAUUAUUAUUAUUAUAACCGUGUACGUCUCAGAAACACCAUUGAUAUAAUUGCAGGUAAUCUGUGCUGUUGGAAAUUUUACGGGUGUUUUGGGUUUCUUUUUCUCAGUUUUGAAUGAUAGUUAUUUUUAUGUGGUGCCUGUGUUCUUCUAGAAAGAACACCAUGUUUGAUGGAGUCAGUACAGUUUUGGCAGUAUUGGAUGUUACAGAAAAAUAUCUGUUUUGUACGUGUAUCCGCUGCCUACAUUGUUAGUUUUAGUUGGUGUGUUUUUUUGUUUGUUUUUGGUUAUGGUCAUUGAUUUGUCCUUUGAAAAUUGACACUUACUUAAGAGGUGCUGGUAAUGCCAUGCAUCAUAAUAUAGAUGCAUACGUAUAGAAGAAUUAUCUUAAACGGGUUCAAUGAUCGGAGUAGCACAUGCUACCAUUCUUGUAGCCUCAAACUGCUGUAUACAGCUUGAAUCUGAUAUUUCUUAAUUGUCAUGUCGUUUUUGUCGUUAAAAUAGGGAUUGUUUUUGUGUCUGGCAUUUGCACCAGUCUUUUAUGAUCUGAAAAAAGGAUGCCUGUAACACCCUAACAUUUCACAGCACUGGGUUUGUGAUGGUUCACAAAGGUCCAUUAAUAGUUAAUGCCAUAUGAGACAUGGUAAGCCAUAAUGGAACCUUAAUGGAUAAGGGCAAACAAAUGUGUACCACUCAUUACUGCUGCAAUAGUGAACCAUUGUUGGUUGUUAAUGUAUCGAAGGCCUGACCUAGGUGCCAAUAUUUAGAGUUCCAUGCAAAUGGAAGUGAAGGAUUGUUGCACACUUUAAUACAUAUAGGCCUGAUUCUCUCUUGCAGAGAUGUCACAAACCAUAUUUGUUUUAUUAUUUUUCUUAAUAAAAAUACUUUAUCUUUUUG